AAUUGACCGUACCGCAAACCGACACUGGUGCGCGAGAUGAGUAUUCUAAGGCGCUUGAGAGAACUCAGGAGAAGGAUCUCGGCAAAUUGAUACCGUAACUUCGGGAGAAGGUAUGCCCCUAUUAGGUGAACUUGAACAAAGGGAGCCGAACGGGGUUGCAAAAAAUCGGUGGCUGCGACUGUUUAAUAAAAACACAGCACUCUGCAAACACGAAAGUGGACGUAUAGGGUGUGACGCCUGCCCGGUGCUGGAAGAUUAAAUGAUGGGGUGCAAGCUCUUGAUUGAAGUCCCAGUAAACGGCGGCCGUAACUAUAACGGUCCUAAGGUAGCGAAAUUCCUUGUCGGGUAAGUUCCGACCUGCACGAAUGGCGUAACGAUGGCCACACUGUCUCCUCCUGAGACUCAGCGAAGUUGAAAUGUUUGUGAUGAUGCAAUCUCCCCGCGGAAAGACGGAAAGACCCCAUGAACCUUUACUGUAGCUUUGUAUUGGACUUUGAACAGAUCUGUGUAGGAUAGGUGGGAGGCUUUGAAGCCGGGACGCUAGUCUCGGUGGAGCCGACGUUGAAAUACCACCCUGGUGUGUUUGAGGUUCUAACCUAGGUCCAUUAUCUGGAUCGGGGACAGUGCAUGGUAGGCAGUUUGACUGGGGCGGUCUCCUCCCAAAGCGUAACGGAGGAGUUCGAAGGUACGCUAGUUACGGUCGGACAUCGUGAUAAUAGUGCAAUGGCAUAAGCGUGCUUAACUGCGAGACUGACAGGUCGAGCAGAUACGAAAGUAGGACAUAGUGAUCCGGUGGUUCUGUAUGGAAGGGCCAUCGCUCAACGGAUAAAAGGUACUCUGGGGAUAACAGGCUGAUACCGCCCAAGAGUUCAUAUCGACGGCGGUGUUUGGCACCUCGAUGUCGGCUCAUCUCAUCCUGGGGCUGUAGCCGGUCCCAAGGGUAUGGCUGUUCGCCAUUUAAAGAGGUACGUGAGCUGGGUUUAAAACGUCGUGAGACAGUUUGGUCCCUAUCUUCCGUGGGCGCUGCAGAUUUGAGGAAGCCUGCUCCUAGUACGAGAGGACCGGAGUGGACACACCUCUGGUGUAUCGGUUGUCACGCCAGUGGCAUUGCCGAGUAGCUAAGUGUGGAAGAGAUAACCGCUGAAAGCAUCUAAGCGGGAAACUCGUUUCAAGAUGAGAUCUGCCGGGGCCUUGAGCCCCCUAAAGAGUCGUUCAAGACCAGGACGUUGAUAGGUCAGGUGUGGAAGCGCAGUAAUGCGUUAAGCUAACUGAUACUAAUUGCUCGUGCGGCUUGACCCC
rnacentral:rRNA from 1 species